rnacentral:rRNA from 1 species
AGUGAACGCUGGCGGUAGGCCUAACACAUGCAAGUCGAACGGCAGCACAGUAAGAGCUUGCUCUUACGGGUGGCGAGUGGCGGACGGUUGACGAAUACAUCACAAUCUACUUUUUCUUGGGGGAUAACGUAGGGAAACUGACGCUAAUACCUCAUACUACCUACGGGUGAAAGCAGGGGAUCUUCGCACCUUGCGCGAUUCAAUGAGCCGAUCCCGGAUUAGCUAGUUGGCGGGGUAACUGCCCACCAAGGCGACGCUCCGUAGCUGGUCCGAGAGGAUGACAAGCCACACUGGAACUGAGCAAAGGUCCAGACUACUACGGGAGGCAGCAGUCGGGAAUAUUGGACAAUGGGCGCAAGCCUGAUCCAGCCAUACCGAGUGCGUGAAGAAGGCCUUCGGGUUGUAAAGCCCUUUUGUUGGGAAAGAAAAGCGGCAGCUUAAUACCUCGCUGUUCUGACGGUACCCAAAGAAUAAGCACCGGCUAACUUCGUG